AUAAGGAUAAUCGAAGCUGAUCUCGAAGGCCAUGCUUAUGCUGGCUGCAGAUGGCGGAAGCAAUUCAAAGGUAAAAUACGUUUUAGAAUUUCUUUCUACGCCAAACUAUAGUGUAAAAUAUAGAUUGUUCUACAGUUAUUUUGUCUCGCAACAUCUAUACGUAGUUGUGUGUAACCCGGCACAAAAUUUUAGUAUGCGAGUGUACUGGUUAAUAUUUUUGUCAUCACAGAGGCCACAACAUUCUCACAAGUAUGCAGGUGGCGCUAUUGUUUUUCCUCCGUGUUCUGUGAUGGCGGUCGUAUGUGCGGGGUGCUACGAGCGUAGCGUUUGCUUGAUCGUGUGUUUUUGUGUUUGCUGUUAUGAAGUAGGUCGCAGUUAGCGUGCACAGAAGUGCCUGAAGAUACCUUGUGUCACGCUGCAAACUCGCCGUAUGCGUGGCGCGCCAGGCAAAUGUGGCCCAACGAUUUUAUGCCGUGGAGUGCGGUCUCUUUGUUCUCGUUCUGGAAAGUUGGGUGGACGUCGCAAAGAAUGUAUGUUAGCGCGCCUCAGCUCGUCCACUACGCAGCGGCAUGUAUGCGAGGAGUAACAUCGUCGACGCAGCACCGGCAACUUGGAGAGUGCUUCGCGACCGCGUCGUACCAUUCAAAAGUGGCGAGGCUGUGACCCAUAACAGUGCCUACAUAACGGAGGAGCCACCAGACCCCUUGGCUAUGCCUGCCGUAGUGCAACGUAUAAUCUGGAUGGUCGGGUCAGGUACACCUAGGAAAUGUUGUAUACAUUGGCAACGAUAACUGGGGCCUGUUCCAGUGCCAUCGCCGGGAUUCCCUGUUCUGCAAAGAACUGACAUAACUGAUGUGGGGAGCCCUGGCGCUCGGUGUAGGAGUAUCACAGGGGCUCCUUGUCGAUG